rnacentral:snRNA from 1 species
AGAUAUGAGGGCGAUCUGACUGUGACAUCUGUCACUCUAUUGAUCGCCAGGGUUGAUUCGGCUGAUCUGGCUAGCUAGGCAGGGUCCCCUUCCUCCCUCACCACUCCAUGUGCUUCCCUCUUGAAGCUGUGCACUCGGUGAAAGAGGAUGCCAUCUUCAGUCAAGGGUAUACAAGUAGCUGCACUUCCCUGCUAGAACCUCCAAACAAGCUCUCAAGGUCCAUUUGUAAAAGAACGUAGGGUAGUCAAGCUUCCAAGACUCCGGACACAUCUGAAUGAGUUGCUGCAUGUGGCAGUCUGCCUUUCUUU